UACGUAGGGGGCAAGCGUUAUCCGGAUUUACUGGGUGUAAAGGGGGCGCAGACGGCGAUGCAAGCCAGGAGUGAAAGCCCGGGGCCCAACCCCGUGACUGCUCUUGGAACUGCGUGGCUGGAGUGCAGGAGGGGCAGGCGGAAUUCCUGGUGUAGCGGUGAAAUGCGUAGAUAUCAGGAGGAACACCGGUGGCGAAGGCGGCCUGCUGGACUGCAACUGACGUUGAGGCCCGAAAGCGUGGGGAGCAAACAGG
rnacentral:rRNA from 1 species